rnacentral:rRNA from 1 species
AAUCAACGCUGGCGGCGUGCCUCAGACAUGCAAGUCGAACGAUUAAAGCUCUCUUCGGAGAGUGCAUAGAGUGGCGCACGGGUGAGUAACACGUAAGUAAUCUACCCUCGAGUGGGGAAUAACGUCCGGAAACGGACGCUAAUACCGCAUAAUGCAGCGGCACCGCAAGGUGACAGUCGUUAAAGAUUUAUCGCUUGAGGAGGAGCUUGCGGCAGAUUAGCUAGUUGGUAAGGUAAUGGCUUACCAAGGCUACGAUCUGUAACCGGUCUUAGAGGACGGUCGGUCACACUGACACUGAAUAACGGGUCAGACUCCUACGGGAGGCAGCAGUCGGGAAUUUUGGGCAAUGGGCGAAAGCCUGACCCAGCAACGCCGCGUGAAGGAUGAAGUAUUUCGGUAUGUAAACUUCGAAGAAUAGGAAGAAUAAAUGACGGUACUAUUUAUAAGGUCCGGCUAACUACGUG